GAUGAAGAACGUAGCGAAAUGCGAUACUUGGUGUGAAUUGCAGAAUCCCGUGAAUCAUCGAGUCUUUGAACGCAAGUUGCGCCCGAAGCCAUCAGGUUGAGGGCACGUCUGCCUGGGCGUCACAUAUCGUUGCCCAAUGCCUAUUGCAGUGCAAUAGGAAUUUCUAGGGCGAAUGAUGGCUUCCCGUGAGCGUUGUUGCCUCGCGGUUGGUUGAAAAUCGAGUCCUUGGUAGGGUGUGCCAUGGUAGAUGGUGGUCGAGUUAGAACGAUACCGAUCAUGUGCAUGCUCCCCAAAAUAUGGCCUCUAUGACCCACACGCGUCUUUUGACGCUCAUGACGAGACCUCAGGUCAGGCGGGGCUACCAGCUGAAUUUAAGCAUAUCAAUAAGCGGAGGA
rnacentral:misc_RNA from 1 species